UCAACACGUCACUGAUCCAAUAUCAUGGUAUGCUACAAGUGCUAACGAUGUAAACAAUGUCUCAAAUUGCUCACCACAUAUUCUGAUAUACAACAACAAGAACCGUAUCAUCAGCCACUUCCUCACUCGAUCAUCAACUCUUGUUUGCAAUAAAUCAAUACACCUCUGAAAUCUUGUUGCCAAGUAUGAAAAUUUGUAUCUUUCAAUCUCAGACUGUGGUUUAUGUUUCAUGGUGAAACUCAUGAAAAACACCGGAAAACAAAGACUCACGUGAGCAACUCCAAUAUAAUCUUUUAUCUCAUUCCUAUACAU